rnacentral:rRNA from 1 species
UACGGAGGAGGCAAGCGUUAUCCGGAAUUAUUGGGCGUAAGGCGCCCGCAGGUGGCUAUUCAAGUCUGCGGUCAAAGACUGGGGCUUAACCCUGGAAAGGCCGUGGAAACUGAAGAGCUAGAGUGCGGUAGGGGUAGAGGGAAUUCCCGGUGUAGCGGUGAAAUGCGCAGAUAUCAGGAGGAACACCGGUGGCGAAGGCGGGUCUCUGGGCCGUAACUGACACUCAGGGACGAAAGCUAGGGGAGCGAAUGGG